GUAGGUGAACCUGCGGAAGGAUCAUUACAAAUCCACGUCUCUCUUUCGAGACAAGUUGAAAUGUAGAAGUAAGAACGCGUCGUGCAUAUUAUAGUGUGCUGCUGUGUAGUACCACCAAGUACUACUACUCUCACACAGUGUAUGUACCACCUCCUCUUCUUCUAAACAACCAUUCUCACCUAUGUUGAUCAGUUGUAGAAUACAAAAACUUUACACAACUUAUAACAAUGGAUCUCUAGGCUCUUGCAUC
rnacentral:misc_RNA from 1 species